UGAGGAAUAUUGGUCAAUGGGCGAGAGCCUGAACCAGCCAAGUAGCGUGCAGGAUGACGGCCCUAUGGGUUGUAAACUGCUUUUAUGCGGGGAUAAAGUGCGCGACGUGUCGUGCAUUGCAGGUACCGCAUGAAUAAGGACCGGCUAAUUCCGUGCCAGCAGCCGCGGUAAUACGGAAGGUCCGGGCGUUAUCCGGAUUUAUUGGGUUUAAAGGGAGCGUAGGCCGCCAGAUAAGCGUGUUGUGAAAUGUACCGACUCAACCGGUGAAUUGCAGCGCGAACUGUUUGGCUUGAGUGCACGGUAAGCAGGCGGAAUUCAUGGUGUAGCGGUGAAAUGCUUAGAUAUCAUGAAGAACUCCGAUUGCGAAGGCAGCUUGCUGCAGUGCGACUGACGCUGAUGCUCGAAGGUGCGGGUAUCAAACAGG
rnacentral:rRNA from 1 species